rnacentral:rRNA from 1 species
CCUCGGGGGCAGCAGUGGGGAAUAUUGGACAAUGGGCGAAAGCCUGAUCCAGCCAUGCCGCGUGUGUGAAGAAGGUCUUCGGAUUGUAAAGCACUUUAAGUUGGGAGGAAGGGUUGUAGAUUAAUACUCUGCAAUUUUGACGUUACCGACAGAAUAAGCACCGGCUAACUCUGUGCCAGCAGCCGCGGUAAUACAGAGGGUGCAAGCGUUAAUCGGAAUUACUGGGCGUAAAGCGCGCGUAGGUGGUUUGUUAAGUUGGAUGUGAAAUCCCCGGGCUCAACCUGGGAACUGCAUCCAAAACUGGCAAGCUAGAGUAUGGUAGAGGGUGGUGGAAUUUCCUGUGUAGCGGUGAAAUGCGUAGAUAUAGGAAGGAACACCAGUGGCGAAGGCGACCACCUGGACUGAUACUGACACUGAGGUGCGAAAGCGUGGGGAGCAAACA